UCGUAUCGCUCUGGUUUUGAGUUUUUCUCUUUCAAUUUUUCAAUCAAAUCGAAAUCGAAGCUAUCUAGUAGUUUAUCUCCCAACCAUGUCUUCUUCAUACGGUCGAUACAAUUCUCAAUCUUACGCUCCAUCUGCACCCGAGUUACCUCCACCUUCUAACCACACCCCUCCUAGUAACUCCUACACCCAAACCUCACCCCCCUCUUCUAACUACAACAACUACCCAUCCUAUGGUUAU
rnacentral:lncRNA from 1 species